GACGAACGCUGGCGGCGUGCUUAACACAUGCAAGUCGAGCGGUAAGGCCCUUUCGGGGGUACACGAGCGGCGAACGGGUGAGUAACACGUGGGUGACCUGCCCUCAGCUCUGGGAUAAGCCUGGGAAACCGGGUCUAAUACUGGAUAUGACUCCAUGACGCAUGUUGUGGGGUGGAAAGCCUUGUGCGGCUGAGGAUGGGCCCGCGGCCUAUCAGCUUGUUGGUGGGGUGAUGGCCUACCAAGGCGACGACGGGUAGCCGGCCUGAGAGGGCGACCGGCCACACUGGGACUGAGACACGGCCCAGACUCCUACGGGAGGCAGCAGUGGGGAAUCUUGCGCAAUGGGCGAAAGCCUGACGCAGCGACGCCGCGUGAGGA
rnacentral:rRNA from 1 species